rnacentral:rRNA from 1 species
UACGUAGGAGGCGAGCGUUGUCCGGAAUCACUGGGCGUAAAGCGCGUGUAGGCGGGAAGGCAAGUCUGCUGUGAAAGUCCAGGGCUCAACCCUGGGAUGCCGGUGGAUACUGCUGGGCUAGAGUACGGAAGAGGCGAGUGGAAUUCCCGGUGUAGCGGUGAAAUGCGUAGAUAUCGGGAGGAAUACCUAUGGCGAAAGCAGGCUACUGGACCAUCACUGACGCUGAUCUGCGAAAGCUAGGGGAGCAAACAGG